GCCCCUGUGGCGGAAUUGGUAGACGCGGCAGACUCAAAAUCUGUUAUCCGCAAGGAUGUGCUGGUUCGAGUCCGGCCAGGGGCACCA
rnacentral:tRNA from 1 species